CAUAUAAUGGCCACCUGCCUGGAGGUUCUUACACAUUUGUUUGUCACCUACACACCUUUAAUUUCAUUGAGGAAAUCAAAGGCCACCCUCAAUGUAAUAGAUGCAAUACUUCUUGCAAAGAUUUGAUUUAUCAAUGUGCCCAAUGUAAUUUCUAGAUGCACUAUUAUUGUUUAUAGAAAGAAAAAUGUUGUUUAAAUUUUUAUUCUAUACUAAACAAAGUAGAUAGAAUUUUUGGUGCAUGAAAUUUGUAAUUCUUAUUCUAUUUAAUUUAUUUUAUUUACUUUUGAACUUAAGCUUAGCUUAUUAGGAUUGUUGUUUCGUACCUCUCAAAUGGCCACAACAUUUAAUGUAUUGUCACAUUUACUAAAUUUAAUUUUUGGUCCUACAAGCAACUUACUAAAUUCUUCAUUGAACCUACCAAUCUGGAUGCUGGCACUAACCUUGAGAUGAGUUUUUUCUCUAUUUGUUUUAGUAUGUUUGGUUUCUUGAACGACAUUUAAGCUGGUUGUUGGUGAUUAUGUUUUUAAGUCCUUGGGACAUUGGCCAAUUCCCGAUGAUGUGGCCAUUUUGGGGCUAUGGAUGGUGUUUGGAGGUGUAUCCUACCUUUUUGAAAAACACCUUAGAAACCUUUUCUUAAAUUGCAUCAAUUACAAAAUAUACAAGUAGUUUAGGCUCAUAAGUUUAAAAUGUAGCAUUGUUUUUGGUAAAUUUGAUUUUUAUUUUGUGGCAACCAUAAUUAAUAGUUAUUCCUAAAUAAUUUUUUUUUGAAGUUAUAUAGAAUUUUCCUAGAAGUAAUUGUUAGUAAAACUUUAAGCUGGACUUUUCUUCUAAAAGAUGUCUACUAUUUUGCUUAAAUAAUUCAUGAUAUGCCAAAAAUGUUAACUUUGCUAGAUUCCAAGUGUGAAGAAAUCGUAUUAGAUGGAGGGGAAAGUUGUGGCCUUCAAAAUAGUUUGUCAGGGCAACUAUGCAAUCUUAGAGAAUAUAAGAAUUCACAAAAGUAGGUAGCCAAACCUAGAAAGGAUGGUCUUCCUCUGAAUUUAUAAUCAAUUAAGUCAAUUUAUUUUUGUUUACUUCCCUUAUGUGCUAUUAAUUUUCUUUUGGCAAUGGACCCACUGGAGCAUUGGAGGAGUGAUGUCACCAUCCAGUUUUUACGACAAGCAUAUGUGGAGGCAACUGAUUUCUUUAACCUGAAAGGGUGAAAAAGUUGUGAACAAUUCUAUAAUGAUGGUCUUUCAUCCUCUAGUGGGGUUCAUUAACAAUAUUUUAAUAUAUUGGGUGGAAAUUUAGAGAAGCAUUUCAACAUCUUAUUCUCAGGUGAAACUCUCUCUCUCUCUGUGGGUUCUUCACAGGGUUUGGUGGACAAGAUGAAUUCAUGUUUGAAAAUGAAGAGGAAAGCAAAAGGGAAGGCACCAUUUAUGAAGAAUGGAAGACUAUUAUUAGAGGGGCCAAUUGCCUUUUGCAAUGGGAAAAGCAAUCCUAUCCAUGUCUUCUCUGCCGAGGAGCUCAGAAGAGAAACAAACUACCAUGACCCUUGCUUAGUUUUGAAUUUUACAAGGGCUCUCUAGAAGGCUGCUUAAUUUCAGUUAAAAAGUACAAAGGAGAAUUUCUUUGGGAUUUUGAAGUUGAAGACACUAUUAAAGACUUUGUGGUUGGAACACAAAUGAGUGUCCACAAAAAUGUUCUAAAACUCUUAGCAUCUGCUUAGAGACCAAUAUUCCAAUUCUAGUAUAUGAAUUUGUAGGGGACAGAAUUCUCUCCACGUGUAUCCAUCCAAUUGAGGGAGUCAUCUCAGAUCCAUUACCAUGUAAAUGCAAGUUAAGCAUUGCAAUGGGCAUAGCUAAUGCAGUUACAUAUCUCCUUUAAUUCAUUUUUUAGGCCUGUUAUCCAUAGAAAUAUUAAGCCAUCCAUAUUGGAUGAGAACAAUGUUGCAGAGCUGACAGAUUUCUCACUCUCUAUAUCUAUUCCUAAAGAUCAAUUGCAAGUAAAGUGACAGUAGUUUUGGAAAC